CCCCUCUUUGGCUCCAGGUUCCACUAACCCCAGCCCCCAGGUGAUAGCUGCUUCCUGCAGUGACAUGUAACAUA
ensembl:lncRNA